rnacentral:rRNA from 1 species
UAAUACGGAGGGUGCGAGCGUUAAUCGGAAUUACUGGGCGUAAAGCGCGCGUAGGCGGCUUGGUCAGUCGGAUGUGAAAGCCCCGGGCUUAACCUGGGAAUUGCAUUCGAUACUGCUGAGCUAGAGUAUGGGAGAGGGAAGUGGAAUUUCCGGUGUAGCGGUGAAAUGCGUAGAUAUCGGAAGGAACACCAGUGGCGAAGGCGACUUCCUGGCCCAAAACUGACGCUGAGGUGCGAAAGCGUGGGUAGCGAACAGGAUUAGAUACCCUGGUAGUCCACGCCGUAAACGAUGAGGACUAGAUGUCGGGAGGAUUACCUUUCGGUGUCGCAGCUAACGCGUUAAGUUCUCCGCCUGGGGAGUACGGUGGCAACACUA